AGCGAACGCUGGCGGCAGGCUUAACACAUGCAAGUCGAGCGGGCACUUCGGUGUCAGCGGCAGACGGGUGAGUAACACGUGGGAACGUACCCUUUGGUUCGGAAUAACGCUGGGAAACUAGCGCUAAUACCGGAUACGCCCUUUUGGGGAAAGGCUUGCUGCCGAAGGAUCGGCCCGCGUCUGAUUAGCUAGUUUGUGGGGUAAUGGCCUACCAAGGCGACGAUCAGUAGCUGGUCUGAGAGGAUGAUCAGCCACACUGGGACUGAGACACGGCCCAGACUCCUACGGGAGGCAGCAGUGGGGAAUAUUGGACAAUGGGCGCAAGCCUGAUCCAGCCAUGCCGCGUGAGUGAUGAAGGCCUUAGGGUUGUAAAGCUCUUUUGUCCGGGACGAUAAUGACGGUACCGGAAGAAUAAGCCCCGGCUAACUUCGUG
rnacentral:rRNA from 1 species